AAGUUUUCUAAAGUGGCUGUGAGUGUAGCUCAGUGCAAAACCCUGGGUUCAAUUACUAGUAUGGAAAUUAAUAGUAAUAGUAAUAAAGCAAUCACUCUGUUUCUAUCAUAGAGAAUAAAUGUGGUCCAUUAUCAUAUGUCUGCAUUCCAGUUUGACUAUAUUUUUAAAUAGAAUUAAAAGCCAAAAUCCCUUUCCUUACUCUAUCUGCUAAGAAUCUCAGCUACUUCGAACCAUAAAUAACAUCUUCAACUUCUUGCUUCUUUCUCAUGUCAAAUAUGGAAGAGAAAUCAGGCAGGAAGACGGUGAUGGGGGUGAGGGCCCUUCCAGUCAUCAGCUGGUUGAGGGCCCAAGGCUCCUGCCUCCUGACCUUGGAUCAUCCCACAGUCUGUUGGGCAGAAUGCCCCAAGCAGUGGUGUCUUUAGGUCUGGCAUUAUGGAUGAAGAAGGAAAAACAUUUAAAUAUUAAAAACAGACUUGGUGACUACUCUUGAUAGCUGAUCAUAUAAAGGAGAAGAAUAAGAGCCAUCCAGCGAACUGGAAUAAAGUCCACAGGCAGACAAAUGACUCUGUCAUGACUGUACAGCUCUAUACCAUGAUACCUAUCUCAAGUUCUCAACGGAAUUGGAUUAAGACAAUGUCCUGUUGACAUGAGACAAUAUGAAAAGAAAAGGAUGGACAGCAUACAGGAUCAGGAGACCACAUGUUCGUAUUAACAAUUUCAAACACCAUCAUAAACAAGAUUCAGCGUUGCAUUCUGUUGUUGAAGGUAGAUGCAGGAGAAAGGCAGAAAACAUGGCAAAUUUUCUGGAAGCUUUUCACUGGAUUAUUUCCUUAGUUUUGAUGUAAUGUCUCCACACCCUUCAGAUAUCUUUCUGAAGAUCCCAAGACCCUUCAGAAAACCUCUACUACAUACUUAAGAGGCAUCUUCAAAUCAACACUGCCAGAAACACUGCAGUGGUGACUCCUUCUUCUGAGGUCAGAACCCCAAGAGAUAAAAUUCCAUCAGGUGGGGAUAAAUAGGUUCCUCAGCUCCAAGUGAAGACCUCUAAUCCAACAUAAUGUUUGAAGGCUGAGCCACAGACUUUCUUCUAGAUAUCAGUGCUCCUCACAGUAGAGUCACUAUGAGUGCCUCCACAGCCUCAGACUCCAGCUGUGCCCCAGACUGUCCAAAAUUGGUGAAUGCAAAAGACACAGGC
ensembl:lncRNA